UACGUAGGGUGCAAGCGUUGUCCGGAAUUAUUGGGCGUAAAGAGCUCGUAGGCGGUUUGUUGCGUCGGCUGUGAAAUCCCGAGGCUCAACCUCGGGUCUGCAGUCGAUACGAGCAAACUAGAGUGUUGCAGGGGAGACUGGAAUUCCUGGUGUAGCGGUGAAAUGCGUAGAUAUCAAGAGGAACACCUGCGGCGAAGGCGGGUUGCUGGGCCGACACUGACGCUGAUGCGCGAAAGCUAGGGGAGCGAACGGG
rnacentral:rRNA from 1 species